CCGUGAUGUCAGCACCGUGGAGGUGGUCACUGAGACGGAGCGACGCCAUGACGCUGACAUCAGGAC
rnacentral:pre_miRNA from 1 species